GCCGGGAUGGUCGAAUCGGUCAAGGCGUCGAACCGGAUAGACGAAGGUUGCGGGUUCGAUCCCCGUUCUUGGCC
rfam:Ixodes scapularis strain Wikel colony gcontig_1108378691694, whole genome shotgun sequence.